GACCCAGUAGCACACCGUGUACAUCUCCUUUCAUUGCGUUGUUGGGUUGUAUAAGAGACUACGGAGAAGGCCCUGGUUCGACUCCAGGCUGGGUCA